rnacentral:lncRNA from 1 species
CCUGAGGCUCUGGGUUAGGGGGGCAGGGCGGGGCCACACCUGAGCAAUGGAAGGAGGCCCUUGUGGCGGAGAGGGGCAAGAGGCGAGGCCAGGCCAGGGCUGGAGGGCAGCAGGAGCCGGGAAAGGCUAUCAGGAGAAGACAGGCCCUGUGGAAUGGGCCAGCCAAGGUGGGAGCUGCGUGGGGAGCCACAUCUCCUGCCCCCAUCCCCCCUGUCCUGAGACCUGGAGGCCUGGAGCCAUCAGCCCGCACAUCGCGCCCGUGAGGAUGGGCUCCUUCUUGAGAAGCCCCCUGAGAGCGUCAGGCAGACCAGGGCCCUGCCCAGCUUGGCACCCUCCUAUUUGUCAUUCAACUGAGAAAGAUAAUGAUGCUGACUACUUAAAAAUCCCCUCUGAGCAGAGCAGGCUGCGUGCAGGCUGUCGGGCUGUGUGCGGUCAGCAUGCACGGAGCCCUACUCAGGGUCCGGUCUAGAGUAAGUCCACAGCACGUUCUCCCCUGGGGCAGUGCCAGGCCAGCAGCUGUGUGAAUACCAGGUGCUCGUCACUGGACCCUGUCGGUCCAGCUGCCAGUGCACCAUCCACUUGAUAAAGACGGCAGGUGGAGUCAGGCUCAGAGAGGCUGGGCAGAGGCAGGCUCUUUCAUGGAGGGAAUCAGGGACCUCUCUCUGAGGAGGUGAUGUUUCAGGAGAGUCCAGAAUGAUGAGGAGGAGCAGAGAGCAGAGUUUCAAAGAUCACCAGGCAGAGGAAGCAGCCAGUGCAAAGGUCCUGAGGCUCAAACAAACUUGGCCUGUUGAUGUGGAGCACAGUGAGGGAAAGGAUGCGGCAGGGAGGGGGUUAGGGCUCAGCUCCUGUGGGGCCUUCCUCCAGGCCAUGGUAAGUAGUUUGGUUUUGUUUGAAGUGGAGAGAAGCCACGGAAGGGCUUAAGCAGAGGAGCGACUCUCUUUCUCUCCUGUUUUAUUCCUUUUUUUUCCCUUUCAAAAGGUCCCUCUGGCUGCUGUGUGGAAACUACGUCGGGGUAGGGAGGGCAACAAAGUAGGAGCUGUGGCCGGUAGGUCGUGGUCCAGCUGGAAGAUGGCCAUGCAGCCUGGGGGUGCAGGAAGAAGAGCAGGACUGGCUGCAUCGCUUCGGCUGGUGACGCCGUGUGGAAAAGACCCCACGUUUGUGUGGACGGGGUCCGACAGGAUGCAGACGAAUGGGAAACGAUGCUGGCUUAGGUUGGGGGAUUGUCCUACCCACGCUCAAGAGCAACUGCUGUCAAGAUAGCAAAGGAAUGUUUUUAUACCAUGUUUAUAAUUUUAACAAGCUACAUGUUAAAAUGUAAAGCACAUGUGUAAUGCCCACCCUCUUGACCCCUGUCCCUGUGGGAUGGGGACUGUGCCUGCCCUGCGCCUCCAUGCCCCGUCUGUGUGGCCUGCUUCAUGGCCACCCGGACAGUGCGCACUGUGACAGGUCUCAUGUUCAGAUUACCUCCACCACCCAUCCCUCUCCCAACAAAGUCACAAGGGCUUGUGGGACCACUUCACUACCCCCGUGCCCCUCACAGAGAGCCAGCCGUCCUGUAGCUCAGUUCCAGGGCUCUCUGUUUUCCACAGCAAGGGAAAGGGAGGAAACUGAGAUUUAAUGAGCAUCUACUGGGCACCAGAAUGCAGGGAAAAUAAGGGGCUGAAUUAGAGGGUAAAGUCAGUGGUAAAUUGGUAUUCAGAAAUCAUGUCAUCAAGUCUGACAUAUUCUUGAAAGUGGGCAGCAAAUUUGAAACUGAAUUUCAUGGUGGCCAAAGCAGAUCAGCUUAGAAAACGCAGAGUCGUGAAUAUAUGCAUUCUUCCUUUAUGACAAAGCUGGCAAAGCAGUAGGAAAGGAAGGGCUUUUUAGUAAACAGAGCUGAAUUAUUGAGUGUUUAAAUGGGAGAAAACAAACGUUGACCCCCGUCUGACACCAGACACGAAAGAAUCAAGUGGAUUGGGUUCAGACAAAGCAACACAUCUUUAAAAGAUAAUACGGGUGUAUCAGUCAGGGUUCAAUGAGAGAAGCAGGACCAGUAGGUGGUCAUGUGCGUGCAUGUGUGUGUGCGUGUGUGUGUCUUUAUCACAUGACUUACACAGUUGUGGGGACUGGAGAAGCAAGUCUGAGGUCUUGAAGUCUGCCGGGCAGUUGGUCAGGAAGGAAGACCCAGUGGCUGUGGAGUGUGGCGCAGGGAAUGGCUGAGCCCUUUCCUUUGUAAGGGCCUUCCCACAGAUCGAGUCCGGCCCCUCAGGAUACGCUCCCUUUGCAUUAGCUGACUUGGGGCUUCAGUCACGUCUGCGAAUCCCUUCCCAGUGCUACCGGGCCAGCGUUUGGACAACUGGGGAAGGUGUGAGCGCUCCGUGCUUGCUGCCUCUCUUCUGUCCUCCAGCUCCCAGGAGAGACUAUCCCUUGUCACCCCUGUGGACCCCCCCAACUGAAAGCCUAACUAGAAAGGGUGUUCUGAGGACUGCAGGUCAGCCCAGCCAAGCCAUCACACACAAGAAAAUAGCUUUAUGAUUUUAGGGUGGCCGGAGGUUUUUAAAGCAGGAUAGGAAAAGCACAAACCAUAAAGAGACUGAUAAAUUGUGCUACGUUAAAAUUAAGAAUGUCUGUUCAUCAAAGAUACCAUUAAGAAUAUCCAAAGGCAAGCUAAAGCUGGGAGAAGGUAUUUGCAGCACAUAUAACUGAGCGGGGGCUCAUAUACAGAAUAAAUAAAGAACUUUUACAAAUCAACAAGAAAACACAAACACCCAAAAGGAAAUUGGGCAAGAAACUUGAAUAGGUAUUUCAUAAAAGAAUUAAUCCAUAAAUGGCCAGUAAACACAUGGAAAGGUAUUCAACCUCAUUAGUUAGAGAAACGCAAAUCAAAACCACAAUGAGAUACCACUGGUAGUUUUAGAAUACGUCCAUAAACUCUUAGUACUGCUCUCUUCAGCAGGUGGAACUUAAUUUCCCUCCCCUUGAGUGUGGGCUGGCCUUAUGUGACUCGCUUUGAAUGGCGAGGUUAUGGCAAAGGUGAUGGUGCGUCACGUCUAACACUAGGUCAUAAAAGACGACGUGACCUCUCUCGUUCUUUCUCUGGGAUCACUUCCUGGGGGAAGCCUGAUGCCAUGUCACGAGGGUGUUCAAGCAGCCCCAUGGAGAAGCGCAUGUGGUGAGGAACUGAGGCCUCCCGCUGUCGCAUGAGCGCCCCAUCUUAGAAGCAAAUCCUCCAGCCCCGGGCAAGCCUUCGGAUGACCGCAGCCCUCGCCAACAUCUCGACUGUAACCUCGUGAGAGACUCUCACCAGAGCCGCCAGAUCAGCCACUCCUGACUUCCCGACUCACGGAAACUGAGAUAAUGAAUGUUUGCUGUUCUAGGGUAAUUUGUUAGAUAGCAAUAGGUAACUAAUAUAACACCUUUACUCACCAGAAUGGUUAAUAUUAAAAAGACUGAUAUACCAAGUGUUGAGGAGAAUGUGGAGCAACUGGAGCUCACACACACUGCUGGGGGGAGUGUAAAUUGGGACAACCAUUUUGGAAAACAAUUUGGCAUUAUUUCUAUUUCUAAUAUUUUCUACAUAAUUGAAGGCCUCCACUGCCAGUGACCUAUCCCCAAUGACCCAGCAAUUCCACUUAUAGGAAUAUACCCAACAGAAAUGUGUGUAAAUGUGCACAUCAGGACACAUGCACAGAACAUUCCUAACAGCGUUAUUUGUAACAGCCCCAAGCAGGAAAUGGCCCCUAAAGUCAAUUCACAGUUCUUUCACACAGUGGGAUACUCUGAGCUAUGGAAAUUAAUGAAUUAUGGCUACGUGCAAUAACAUGAAUAGGUCUCAUAAGGGUAACCUUGAAUGAAACAAACCUGACACAAAAGAG